AUGCACAGAUGGAUCAUUCCACCUGGGCCAAGCUGUCACGACGUAUCUGUGUCAAGAUCUAGGGAUUCGAAUUGGUGUACAAGGAGUGUUUGUUCGCUUCAAGAUUUCUGUUUCAUUCGCUCUCUACAUGAGAAUGUGCCAUGCGAUGUUCUUGUUCUGGCCGCUUGCUUUCAAGCGGAGGUGGAUGUGCUGGCAAUUCAAGUUGAACCUUUAUAUUCUGUGGAAAUAUAUAUUUGCCGAUGCUUCUCCAAUGAUAACAUUUCAGUAAUUCCUUUUGGGCAAGCGUACCAUAACUCGUUGCUACUAUGUCUUGCUGGGUGCACUUGUGAUCCAUCGAAGUAUGACAAGUGGGUUGACCAGUCCUCGCGGCCCCAAUGCCACACUGGAAAUGGGAGAUGGCUGGUUGAAUAUGUGCUGAGCACAGGAUGA
rnacentral:rRNA from 1 species